rnacentral:rRNA from 1 species
AUACGUAGGGUGCAAGCGUUAAUCGGAAUUACUGGGCGUAAAGCGUGCGCAGGCGGUUUUGUAAGACAGUGGUGAAAUCCCCGGGCGCAACCUGGGAACUGCCAUUGUGACUGCAAGGCUGGAGUGCGGCCGAGGGGGAUGGAAUUCCGCGGGUAGCAGUGAAAUGCGUAGAUAUGCGGAGGAACACCGAUGGCGAAGGCAAUCCCCUGGGCCUGCACUGACGCUCAUGCACGAAAGCGUGGGGAGCAAACAGGAUUAGAUACCCUGGUAGUCCACGCCCUAAACGAUGUCAACUGGUUGUUGGGGAUUUAUUUUCUCAGUAACGAAGCUAACGCGUGAAGUUGACCGCCUGGGGAGUACGGCCGCAAGGUUAAAACUUAAAGGAAUUGACGGGG